AGAGUUUGAUCCUGGCUCAGGAUGAACGCUAGCGACAGGCUUAACACAUGCAAGUCGAGGGGCAGCACAGGUAGCAAUACCGGGUGGCGACCGGCGCACGGGUGAGUAACGCGUAUGCAACUUACCUAUCAGAGGGGGAUAACCCGGCGAAAGUCGGACUAAUACCGCAUAAAGCAGGGAUCCCGCAUGGGAAAUUUGCUAAAGAUUCAUCGCUGAUAGAUAGGCAUGCGUUCCAUUAGGCAGUUGGCGGGGUAACGGCCCACCAAACCGACGAUGGAUAGGGGUUCUGAGAGGAAGGUCCCCCACAUUGGUACUGAGACACGGACCAAACUCCUACGGGAGGCAGCAGUGAGGAAUAUUGGUCAAUGGGCGUAAGCCUGAACCAGCCAAGUCGCGUGAGGGAUGAAGGUUCUAUGGAUCGUAAACCUCUUUUAUAUGGGAAUAAAAUGUUCCACGUGUGGGAUUUUGUAUGUACCAUAUGAAUAAGGAUCGGCUAACUCCGUGCCAGCAGCCGCGGUAA
rnacentral:rRNA from 1 species